rnacentral:sRNA from 1 species
UAACCGGAUAGCUUUAGCGGGCAACAAGCGGGUUUCGUCAACCCGUUUCCGGUUAACCCUUCUUGACGA